GAUGAACGCUGGCGGCGUGCCUAAUACAUGCAAGUCGAGCGAAUGGAUUAAGAGCUUGCUCUUAUGAAGUUAGCGGCGGACGGGUGAGUAACACGUGGGUAACCUGCCCAUAAGACUGGGAUAACUCCGGGAAACCGGGGCUAAUACCGGAUACCAUUUUGAACCGCAUGGUUCGAAAUUGAAAGGCGGCUUCGGAUGUCACUUAUUGCUGGGCCCGCGUCGCAUUAGCUGGUUGGUGGGGUAACGGCUCACCAAGGCAACGAUGCGUAGCCGACCUGAGAGGGUGAUCGGCCACACUGGGACUGAGACACGGCCCAGACUCCUACGGGAGGCAGCAGUAGGGAAUCUUCCGCAAUGGACGAAAGUCUGACGGAGCAACGCCGCGUGAGUGAUGAAGGCUUUCGGGUCGUAAAACUCUGUUGUUAGGGAAGAACAAGUGCUAGUUGAAUAAGCUGGCACCUUGACGGUACCUAACCAGAAAGCCACGGCUAACUACGUGCCAGCCGCCGCAGUAA
rnacentral:rRNA from 1 species